rnacentral:rRNA from 1 species
UACAGAGGUCUCGAGCGUUAGGCGGAAUCACUGGGCUUAAAGCGUGUGUAGGUGGAUCGUUAAGUACCUUGUGAAAUCCCACGGCUUAACCGUGGAACUGCUUGGUAUACUGGCGGUCUUGAGCCACUUAGGGGCUACCGGAACAAACGGUGGAGCGGUGAAAUGCGUAGAUAUCGUUUGGAACGCCAAUGGUGAAAACAGGUUGCUGGGAGUGCGCUGACGCUGAGACACGAAAGCCAGGGGAGCGAACGGG